CUACUAAUUUACUUCUAGCGGGCCCCUCAAAAAAAAUUUACUUCUAGUGGGAACGCACUCCAAUCUGAACGACGUCGUUGCAGGCCAAGAUGCGGCAAUGCAGAGUGAAGCUUAGAUCCAAGCAGUAAACAGUGAGCCAGUCAACAACUUUGCUUCAGAUUCCCAAAUUGGAGCCCUAGUGCAUCAAUUAGGUACUUAAUUUGAUCGUUGAUCAUUCUACUUGUACAUAUACAAUCUAAUGGCGAAGCAUUCGACGGUGGCAUCGUUCAUUCCAGUCCAAAAGCGGUGGUCAUUGAUGAUAUUAUUAUGCAUCGCUCUCUCCACCGCCUUCGCGUUCUUUAUCGGAGCCUCAUUCAAUUCCUGUAACUCUGUCGAGUACCCCGACAACCACAAUUUUAAUGCUCCGAUUCACUCAUUCAACUCAGGCGGCACCACUGCUGCGAAUGAAGAAAAAUCGCUCGAUUUUAUGAAAUCAAAGUUUGUGCUUAUGGUCUCGCAUGAGCUCUCGCUCUCAGGUGGACCUUUACUUCUAAUGGAGCUUGCCUUUCUGUUAAGAACUGUUGGUACACGAGUUGUCUGGAUCACUAAUCAGAAGCCUGCUGAAUCGGAUGACGUGAUUUUCAGUUUGGAGCAACGAAUGACUGACAGAGGAGUGGAGAUCAUGUCUGCAAAGGGGCAUGAAACUGUUGACGCAGCUCUUAAAGCUGAUCUAGUCAUUUUAAAUACUGCCGUGGCUGGCAAGUGGCUGGAUGCUGUGCUCCAAGAAAAUGUUGCUCGAGUACUCCCCAAGGUUUUGUGGUGGAUUCAUGAAAUGCGAGGGCAUUACUUCAAACUGGAGUAUGUUAAGCACCUCCCUUUUGUUGCAGGUGCCAUGAUUGAUUCACAAACUACUGCUGACUACUGGAAGAACCGAACUCAUGAACGAUUAGGGAUAAAGAUGCCUGAGACCUACGUUGUCCACCUUGGGAAUAGCAAAGAGUUGAUGGAAGUAGCCGAAGACAGUGUUGCCAGAAGGGUCCUUCGGGAGCAUAUUAGGGAAUCUCUUGGCAUACGGAAAGAUGAUGUUUUGUUUGCCAUUAUCAACAGUGUUUCCCGAGGGAAAGGUCAGGAUCUAUUUCUUAAAGGUUUCUAUGAAGCUCUGCAACUCAGCAAAGAGAGGAAACUUAAAGUGCCACCUAUGCAUGCAGUUAUAGUGGGUAGUGACAUGAGUGCCCAGACUAAAUUUGAAACAGAACUUCGCAACUUUGUUGCUGACAAGAAAAUUCAGGAGAAUGUUCACUUUGUGAACAAAACACUAAAUGUUGCACCUUAUCUGGCUUCAAUUGAUAUUCUUGUCCAAAACUCACAGGCCCGUGGUGAGUGUUUUGGGAGGAUAACCAUUGAAGCCAUGGCUUUUCAGCUACCUGUACUGGGUACUGCAGCUGGAGGUACAAUGGAGAUUGUAGUGAACAGCACAACCGGUUGGCUUCAUCCAGCUGGCAAAGAAGGUGUAACACCGCUCGCUGAAAACAUCAUUCAGCUGGCCACAAACGUAGAAAUGAGAAGGACAAUGGGGAUGAAGGGUUACGCUCGGGUCAAAGAAAUGUUUCUGGAACACCAUAUGUCACAUAGAAUAUCCUUGGUCUUAAAGGAUGUUCUGCAGAAGGCAAAGGGAUCAAUUAACUAACUCAGAAACCACCUCUCAGGUUCUGUCUACAGAAGGGCAUGAAACUUUCGAUGCAGCUCUUAAACCUGAUUUGGUCUUGUGUCUCCAAGAAAAGAUUCCUUGUGGUGGAUUCAUGAAAUGCUGAGGCCAUUACUUGAAACUGGAUUUGCUGCACCAGCCAUGAUUGAUUCGCGGGACUGAUUGGGAUGAAGGUAAUACAUGUUUGCACCAACUUCACCACCCACACAAUCGAACCAGCCGCCCCUCCUCACACAAUUUGCCGUCGCCCUUGAGCAGAUCUGCACUGACAAACCUCAAACGUGUAUCAAUAACAUGAUUUAUGUGUUUAGGAAUGUCAAAAUUUUACAUGAGAAAUAAGAGUAUGUUUUGGUGUAGAUGUAGUCGUCGCUAGAUGAUAUCUAUAGGUGCUAAAACUACUAGACAUAUUCCACUCGAUUUAAUUUUAAACAAAAACGUGACCGGUCAAAAAAAAUUUACUUUUGUUUUGGAGGCUCAAA